GUAGGUGGCAAGCGUUGUCCGGAAUUAUUGGGCGUAAAGCGCGCGCAGGCGGUUCUUUAAGUCUGAUGUGAAAGCCCACGGCUCAACCGUGGAGGGUCAUUGGAAACUGGAGAACUUGAGUACAGAAGAGGAAAGCGGAAUUCCACGUGUAGCGGUGAAAUGCGUAGAGAUGUGGAGGAACACCAGUGGCGAAGGCGGCUUUCUGGUCUGUAACUGACGCUGAGGCGCGAAAGCGUGGGGAGCAAACAGGAUUAGAUACCCUGGUAGUCCACGCCGUAAACGAUGAGUGCUAAGUGUUAGGGGGGUUUCCGCCCCCCUUAGUGCUGCAGCUGACGCAUUAAGCACUCCGCCUGGGAGUACGGCCGCAAGGCUG
rnacentral:rRNA from 1 species